GGCCGAAAGCCUCAGGUCUCUGGAGGAAGGUUCGUCCGCUCCAGGUCAGUCGGGAGCUAAGGUGAGGCCUAACGGCGUAGCCGAUGCACAGACGGUAGAGAUUCCGUCACCACCAAAAGAGUUAAACACAGGGACACAUAUGAAGUCUCGGAGCCGGGUGUUGGUUCCGGUAGCGAUCGAGGGAAGUUAGUACCGAAGUCCGGGAUGGAAGAUGGCGAGAAAAGCUGUGUGGAUUUCUGCGGUGCCCGUACCGCAAACCGACACAGGUAGGUAGGAAGAAGAUUCUAAGGCCAACGGGAGAAGGGUUGUUAAGGAACUCGGCAAAUUGACCCCGUAACUUCGGGAGAAGGGGUGCUGCAGCAAUGCAGCCGCAGAGAAUCGGCCCAAGCAACUGUUUACCAAAAACACAGGUUUGUGCUAAAUCGAAAGAUGACGUAUACGAGCUGACGCCUGCCCGGUGCUGGAAGGUUAAGAGGAGAUGUGCAAGCAUUGAAUCGAAGCCCCAGUGAACGGCGGCCGUAACGAUAACGGUCCUAAGGUAGCGAAAUUCCUUGUCAGGUAAGUUCUGACCCGCAUGAAAGGCGUAAUGAUUUGGGCACUGUCUCAACAGCCCGCCCGGCGAAAUUGUAGUACCGGUGAAGAUGCCGGUUACCCGCGACAAGACGGAAAGACCCCAUGGAGCUUUACUGUAGCCUAAUAUUGGGUUUCGAUGUUGCAUGCACAGGAUAGAUGGGACACAGGGAAGCAGGUGCUUUGGCGCUUGUGGAGUGGCCGUUAGGAUACCAUCCUUGCGAUACUGGAAUUCUAACCUGCGCCUUUGAAUCAAGGCGGGGGACAUUGUUAGGUGGGCAGUUUGACUGGGGCGGUCGCCUCCUAAAGAGUAACGGAGGCGUUCAAAGGUUCGCUCAGCUUGAACGGAAAUCAAGCAAAAGAGUGCAAACGCAGAAGCGAGCCUAACUGCGAGACUGACGGGUCGAGCAGUAACGAAAGUUGGAGUUAGUGAUCCGGUGGUAUGUGAGUGGAAAUGCCAUCGCUCAACGGAUAAAAGUUACCCUGGGGAUAACAGGCUGAUCUCCCCCAAGAGUCCACAUCGACGGGGAGGUUUGGCACCUCGAUGUCAGCUCAUCGCAUCCUGGGGCUGUAUUCGGUCCCAAGGGUUUGGCUGUUCGCCAAUUAAAGCGGUACGCGAGCUGGGUUCAGAACGUCGUGAGACAGUUCGGUCCCUAUCUGUCGUGGGCGCAGGAUAUUUGAUGGAGCUGUUCCUAGUACGAGAGGACCGGAGCGGACGUACCUCUGGCGCACCAGUUGUUCUGCCAAGAGCAUAGCUGGGCAACUAUGUACGGAUCGGAUAAACGCUGAAAGCAUCUAAGCGUGAAGCCGACCCAAAGAUAAGAUAUCCCAUUGUUUUAAACAAGUAAGACCCCUUGAAGACUACAAGGUUGAUAGGCACGAUGUGUAAGUGGAGCGAUCCAUUCAGCAAGCGUGUACUAAUAGGUCGAGGGCUUGACCA
rnacentral:rRNA from 1 species